UACGUAGGGUGCGAGCGUUGCCCGGAUUUAUUGAGCGUAAAGGGCGCGUAGGCGGCCACGCACGUCCGUUGUGAAAUCGCCCGGCUCAACUGGGCGGGGUCGGCGGAUACGGCGUGGCUGGAGCAAGCUAGGGGGCAAUGGAAUUCCCGGUGUAGUGGUGGAAUGCGUAGAUAUCGGGAGGAACACCAGUGGCGAAGGCAGCUCGCUGGGACGGUACUGACGCUGAGGCGCGAAAGCGUGGGGAGCAAACAGG
rnacentral:rRNA from 1 species